rnacentral:rRNA from 1 species
AUGGGGGCGCCGCCGUGGAGGCUGCUGUGCUGCUGCUGCUGCCGCGAGUCCGAUCGCAAUGGGGUGGACGACCUCAAGCUCAAGCCCGACGCCGCCGAUGGGGAGGAGGGGGCGGCGGGGGACUGGUACGACCUCCCGCCAUUCCAGGACUUCACCUUCCAGCAGCUGCGCCUCGCCACCUCGGGCUUCGCCGCCGAGAACAUCAUCUCCGAGAGCGGCGACAAGGCGCCUAACGUCGUCUACAAGGGCAAGCUCGACGCCCAGCGCCGUAUCGCCGUCAAGCGCUUCAGCCGCUCUGCCUGGCCCGACCCGCGCCAGUUCAUGGAAGAAGCUAAGUCUGUUGGCCAGCUCCGGAACAAAAGAAUCGUAAAUUUGCUUGGUUGUUGCUGUGAAGCCGAUGAAAGAUUGCUUGUUGCUGAGUACAUGCCCAAUGACACACUGGCGAAGCAUCUGUUCCAUUGGGAGUCACAGGCAAUGGUAUGGCCCAUGAGAUUACGGGUUGUUCUGUAUCUUGCCGAGGCUUUAGACUACUGCAUAAGCAAGGAGCGGGCUCUCUAUCAUGAUCUUAAUGCCUAUAGAGUUCUGUUUGAUGAUGACUGCAACCCUAGGCUUUCAUGUUUCGGCCUAAUGAAGAACAGUCGGGAUGGCAAAAGUUACAGCACCAAUUUGGCAUUCACUCCUCCUGAAUAUAUGAGGACUGGAAGAAUUACUCCGGAAAGUGUCAUAUACAGCUUUGGCACAUUGUUGUUGGAUGUUCUUAGUGGGAAGCAUAUUCCUCCUAGCCAUGCUCUUGAUCUGAUUCGUGAUCGAAACUUCAGUAUGCUCAUAGACUCCUGUUUAGAGGGCCAAUUUUCGAACGAGGAAGGAACAGACCUGAUGCGUUUAGCUUCAAGGUGCCUGCAUUAUGAACCACGAGAGCGGCCUAAUUCCCAAUCUUACGAUCUGAUGGAUAAGCCCCGUGGUGGUGCAUUUACUCUUCAAUCAAUUCAUCUUUCUCCUCUUGCGGAAGCUUGCUCCAGAAAGGAUCUUACUGCAAUACAUGAACAUCUAGAAACAGCUGGCUAUAAAGACGAUGAGGGAACAGCAAAUGAGCUCUCAUUUCAGAUGUGGACUAAUCAAAUGCAAGCUACAAUUGACUCAAAAAAGAAGGGCGACACUGCAUUUCGACAAAAGGAUUUUAGCAUGGCCAUUGAUUGCUACUCUCAGUUCAUUGAUGUUGGUACCAUGGUUUCACCGACAAUUUAUGCGAGGCGUUGCUUAUCAUAUCUCAUGAAUGACAUGCCACAACAAGCUCUGGAUGAUGCAGUGCAGGCUCUGGCGAUAUUUCCUACAUGGCCAACUGCAUUUUAUCUUCAGGCUGCGGCCCUAUUUUCAUUAGGAAAAGAAAACGAAGCUCGAGAAGCACUCAAGGAUGGUUCGGCUGUGGAGACAAGGAGUAAGGGGCAUUGA